ensembl:rRNA 5S_rRNA 5S ribosomal RNA
AUUUAUACCACCCUGAACACGCCUGAUCUCGUCUGAUCUCAGAAGCUAAGCAGGGCCGGGCCUGGUUAGUACUUGGAUGGGAGACCUCCAAAAUCUUGACUGUAGUUC